rnacentral:rRNA from 1 species
UACAUAGGGUGCAAGCGUUAAUCGGAAUUACUGGGCGUAAAGCGUGCGUAGACGGUUAUGUAAGUCAGAUGUGAAAGCCCCGGGCUUAACCUGGGAAUGGCAUUUGAGACUGCAUAGCUAGGGUGCGGAAGAGGGAAGCGGAAUUUCCGGUGUAGCGGUGAAAUGCGUAGAUAUCGGAAGGAACACCAGUGGCGAAAGCGGCUUCCUGGUCCAGCACCGACGUUCAGGCACGAAAGCGUGGGGAGCAAACAGG